rnacentral:rRNA from 1 species
CCUACGGGAGGCAGCAGUGAGGAAUAUUGGUCAAUGGUCGGGAGACUGAACCAGCCAAGCCGCGUGAGGGAGGAAGGUACAGAGUAUCGUAAACCUCUUUUGUCAGGGAACAAAGGCGGGGACGUGUCCCCGGAUGAGUGUACCUGAAGAAAAAGCAUCGGCUAACUCCGUGCCAGCAGCCGCGGUAAUACGGAGGAUGCGAGCGUUAUCUGGAUUUAUUGGGUGUAAGGGGUGCGCAGGCGGUCUGCUAAGUCAGCGGUCAAAGCCCGGGGCCCAACCCCGGCCCGCCGUUGAAACUGGCAGUCGCGAGUUGGAGAGAAGUAUGCGGAAUGCGCGGUGUAGCGGUGAAAUGCAUAGAUAUCGCGCAGAACUCCGAUUGCGAAGGCAGCAUGCCGGCUCCACACUGACGCUGAGGCACGAAAGCGUGGGUAUCGAACAGGAUUAGAUACCCCAGUAGUC